CCUACGGGAGGCAGCAGUAGGGAAUAUUGCUCAAUGGGGGAAACCCUGAAGCAGCAACGCCGCGUGGAGGAUGAAGGUUUUCGGAUUGUAAACUCCUUUUGUUAGAGAAGAUAAUGACGGUAUCUAACGAAUAAGCACCGGCUAACGCCGUGCCAGCAGCCGCGGUAAUACGGAGGGUGCACGCGUUACUCGGAAUCACUGGGUAUAAAGAGCGCGUAGGCGGGUUAGCAAGUCAGAUGUGAAAUCCUAUGGCUUAACCAUAGAACUGCAUUUGAAACUGUUAUUCUAGAGUAUGGGAGAGGUAGGUGGAAUGCUUGGUGUAGCGGUAAAAUCCGUAGAGAUCAAGAGGAAUACUCAUUGCGAAGGCGACCUGCUAGAACAAAACUGACGCUGAUGCGCGAAAGCGUGGGGAGCGAACAGGAUUAGAUACCCGAGUAGUC
rnacentral:rRNA from 1 species